rnacentral:lncRNA from 1 species
GUAUUUCCCAUCAGCCUGGGUAUCAGGAGCCGGCCUUAUCCAGCGGUGUUUUUCUAUUAGUCUAACACCCCAUUGUCCACCCCUUAUCGCAGAAAUGUUGAUGUCAUGCCUGGCUUGGAAGUGGUUUCUGCAUCUCGGCGCUCGGACAGCUUCGCUUUAAUUGGGGGAGGGGGAGGGGUGGAGGAGCCCAUUUAUCAGAAUUCUCACGAGAAUUCACCCCUUUCCUCCUUCCAGUGGGGCCGCGGAGGGCGCCGCGGUGGGGUGGGUUCCCAGCCACGGUUCCUGGCCUUUCUCUGUGUGCCUGGGGCUCGACCCUGCCGGCCUGCGUCAGAGCUGAAAUGCUGAGGCGGGUGACUGCCAGCAACAGGGAGCGGGUUGCCCUUGCUCCUACUGUGUCCCCAUGUCUCAGCACGGGGCUGUCACACAGAAGGCGCUCAAUGAAUACAGGCCGAGUGAAUGAAUGAACCGACGAAGACCCAGGUGCUGUGCAAAGACCGGUGAUUCUGGGGAGGAUGGACUGUGUCCUGAGCUCCUAAGAUUUCGCAGAGGAGCAGUGACAGGGUCUGAAUUUCGGCAGGAAGGCCGCUCUGGAUCCAGGAAAUGGGUUUGUGACGGCGAGGUGGCCACUCCGUUUCUUUCCCAUAUCUCAGCCUCCUAGAUCAGGAGCCAGAAGAGAUGUUGGAGACCAUUAAGAAGAGAGCAGAAAGCUGAAGUUCAAAAGAGAAAAUGAUUUUCCAGGGUCAUACACUGGGAGAGGGGCCAGGGCCCACUGGGGCUCUGCCUAACUCUGCUCUGUGCUGUCUCUGGGGUGCGUAGCUGAGGCCUCACUCAGCACCCAGCUGGCUGUGUGAGGAAGCGGUGGGGAGAGAGUGUCACACUCCAUCGUGACCAGGCUCCACUUUUCCACCUCGGGCUGUCCUCAGGAGCUGCUGCGCCCCGAGGCCUGAAGUCCCAGGGCUGUCACUUCCUCUGGGCUUGUCUGCCAGGAGGCCUGAGCUCACAGCCAAGGCUGUCCCCUCCACAAAGCCUCUGGCUCCCUCUUAUCCUCGUUGCGAUCAGCCCGGCCUGAAAUGGUCGUCUGGCUGUCUGCGCCAGGGAUGGGGCGGGACAGUGCUCUGGCCUUCCUCAUUAACGGGGUGGCUGUGGCUCUGAUUAUAGCCGUGGGAGGGUUUUUUUUGGUCAAAGAGCAUCGUGCAUCCAUUUAUUAUGUCACCAUUCACCCAGACGUUUACCGCGUCUUUCUACGCUGCUGCUGGAGACCCAGAGAUGAGC